UUGUGGUAGUGAGGCUUCACUGCUGCAGGCAGACAUGUUCAUGUAGGAGAAGAGCAGGGAAGACACCACAGCACAGAAGCUUCCCCCAGAGUGCUGGAGGCUGGACUUGAACCUGAGUAUGGCUAGCCGAGCAGGCUCAAGAGUCCCAACACACAUCAUUUCCUGACUGGCUUCUGCCCAUUAUUAGCUACAGGAAGCAGAAGCACAGGUGUGGAAGAUAAAGUGAUGGCCACACCAGGAGAUCAGUUCUCAGUACAUUGUUGCAUAUUAUUAUGCAACAGAUGGCUCAAAGUAGUAGCUAGAAACAAAACGAAGAAGUGGAGCAAUGGCUAGAGCCAUGGAGUUGAAAGCAUGGAGUCCUGCACUGUAUCACAUGUGCCAGAGUCUCUCUCUCUCUUUUGUCUCAUGCGAAUAAAUCAAUCAGUCUCAAAAU